GACGAACGCUGGCGGCGUGCUUAACACAUGCAAGUCGAACGGAAAGGCCCUGCUUUUGUUGGGUGCUCGAGUGGCGAACGGGUGAGUAACACGUGAGUAACCUGCCCUUGACUUUGGGAUAACUUCAGGAAACUGGGGCUAAUACCGGAUAGGAGCUCCUGCUGCAUGGUGGGGGUUGGAAAGUUUCGGCGGUUGGGGAUGGACUCGCGACUUAUCAGCUUGUUGGUGGGGUAGUGGCUUACCAAGGCUUUGACGGGUAGCCGGCCUGAGAGGGUGACCGGCCACAUUGGGACUGAGGGAAGGCCGAGACUCCGACGGGAGGCAGCAGUGGGGAAUAUUGCACAAUGGGCGGAAGCCUGAUGCAGCAACGCCGCGUGCGGGAUGACGGCCUUCGGGUUGUAAACCGCUUUCGCCUGUGACGAAGCGUGAGUGACGGUAAUGGGUAAAGAAGCACCGGCUAACUACGUG
rnacentral:rRNA from 1 species